GACGAACGCUGGCGGCGCGCCUAACACAUGCAAGUCGAACGGAGCUUAGAGAGCUUGCUUUUUAAGCUUAGUGGCGAACGGGUGAGUAACGCGUGAGUAACCUGCCCUGGAGUGGGGGACAACAGUUGGAAACGACUGCUAAUACCGCAUAAGCCCACGGUACCGCAUGGCACUGAGGGAAAAGGAUUUAUUCGCUUUAGGAUGGACUCGCGUCCAAUUAGCUAGUUGGUGAGGUAACGGCCCACCAAGGCGACGAUUGGUAGCCGGACUGAGAGGUUGAACGGCCACAUUGGGACUGAGACACGGCCCAGACUCCUACGGGAGGCAGCAGUGGGGGAUAUUGCACAAUGGGGGGAAACCCUGAUGCAGCGACGCCGCGUGGAGGAAGAAGGUUUUCGGAUUGUAAACUCCUGUCGUUAGGGACGAUAAUGACGGUACCUAACAAGAAAGCACCGGCUAACUAUGUG
rnacentral:rRNA from 1 species